rnacentral:rRNA from 1 species
GAUGAACGCUGGCGGCGUGCCUAAUACAUGCAAGUCGAGCGAACAGACGAGGAGCUUGCUCCUCUGACGUUAGCGGCGGACGGGUGAGUAACACGUGGAUAACCUACCUAUAAGACUGGGAUAACUUCGGGAAACCGGAGCUAAUACCGGAUAAUAUAUUGAACCGCAUGGUUCAAUAGUGAAAGACGGUUUUGCUGUCACUUAUAGAUGGAUCCGCGCCGCAUUAGCUAGUUGGUAAGGUAACGGCUUACCAAGGCAACGAUGCGUAGCCGACCUGAGCGGGUGAUCGGCCACACUGGAACUGAGACACGGUCCAGACUCCUACGGGAGGCAGCAGUAGGGAAUCUUCCGCAAUGGGCGAAAGCUUGACGGAGCAACGCCGCGUGAGUGAUGAAGGUCUUCGGAUCGUAAAACUCUGUUAUUAGGGAAGAACAAAUGUGUAAGUAACUAUGCACGUCUUGACGGUACCUAAUCAGAAAGCCACGGCUAACUACGUG